rnacentral:rRNA from 1 species
GUACUGGGACUCUAACCAUAGGCCAUGAAUCUGGUCUUGGGACACUGUCAGGUGGGCAGUUUGACUGGGGCGGUCGCCUCCCAAAAGGUAACGGAGGCGCUCAAAGGUUCUCUCAGUACGGUCGGAAAUCGUACGUAGAGUGUAAAGGCAAAAGAGAGCUUGAUUGCAAGACAUACAGGUCGAGCAAGGAUGAAAAUCGGACUUAGUGAUCCGGUGGUUCUGCGUGGAAGGGCCAUCGCUCAACGGAUAAAAGCUACCCUGGGAUAACAGGCUUAUCUCCCCCAAGAGUCCACAUCGACGGGGAGGUUUGGCACCUCGAUGUCGGCUCAUCACAUCCUGGGGCUGUAGUAGGUCCCAAGGGUUGGGCUGUUCGCCCAUUAAAGUGGUACGCGAGCUGGGUUCAGAACGUCGUGAGACAGUUCGGUCCCUAUCCGUCGCAGGCGUAGGAAAUUUGAGAAGACCUGUCCUUAGUACGAGAGGACCGGGAUGGACGUACCUCUGGUGUACCAGUUGUCCUGCCAAGGGCAUGGCUGGGUAGCUAUGUACGGAAUGGAUAAGCGCUGAAAGCAU